CCUACGUGUGGCAGCAGUGAGGAAUAUUGGUCAAUGGGCGUAAGCCUGAACCAGCCAAGUCGCGUGAGGGAUGAAGGUUCCAUGGAUUGUAAACCUCUUUUAUAAGGGGAUAAAGUGUGGGUCGUGUCCUAUUCUGUAUGUACCUUAUGAAUAAGCAUCGGCUAACUCCUUGCCAGCAGCCGCGGUAAUACGGAGGAUCGGAGCGUUAUCCGGAUUUAUUGGGUUUAAAGGGUGCGUAGGCGGCCUUUUAAGUCAGCGGUGAAAGUCUGUGGCUCAACCAUAGAAUUGCCGUUGAAACUGGCGGGCUUGAGUAUGUGUGAGGCAGGCGGAAUGCGUGGUGUAGCGGUGAAAUGCUUAGAUAUCACGCAGAACCCCGAUUGCGAAGGCAGCCUGCCAGGGCAUGACUGACGCUGAGGCACGAAAGCGUGGGGAUCGAACAGGAUUAGAUACCCUAGUAGUC
rnacentral:rRNA from 1 species